rnacentral:rRNA from 1 species
GAUGAACGCUGGCAGCAUGCUUAACACAUGCAAGUCAACUUGUGGCGGACGGGUGAGUAACGCGUAAAGAACUUGCCUCACAGAUAGGGACCACAUUUGGAAACGAAUGCUAAUACCUGAUACUGUGAGAGAGCUUUGCGUCCCAUUAGCUAGUUGGAGAGGUAACGGCGCAACAAGGCGAUGAUGGGUAGCCGGCCUGAGAGGGUGAACGGCCACAAGGGGACAGAGACACGGCCAGUACUCCAACGUGGGGCAGCAGUGGGGAACAGUGGACAAUGGGCCAAUGUCUGAUGAAGCUAUUCUGUGUGCACGAUGAUGUUUUCGGAAUGUAAAGGGCUUUCAGUUAGGAAGCGGUACCAACAGAAGAAGUGACGGCUAAAUACGUGCCAGCAGCCGCGGUAAUAC